rnacentral:rRNA from 1 species
GUAGUCUCGCACAGAUGCAUAUCAAUAAGCGGAGGAAAAGAAACUAACAAGGAUUCCCUUAGUAACGGCGAGUGAAGCGGGAAGAGCUCAAAUUUGAAAUCUUCAAGGUUCUACCUUGACGAAUUGUAGUUUAAAGAAGUGUUUUCUGUUAGAUGAGUAGCAAAAGUUCCUUGGAAUGGGACAUCAUAGAGGGUGAGAAUCCCGUAUUUGGUACCUUUACUUUCUAGCUUUGUGAUACACUUUCAAAGAGUCGGAUUGUUUGGGAAUGCAGUCCAAAAUGGGUGGUAAACUUCAUCUAAAGCUAAAUAUUGGCGAGAGACCGAUAGCGAACAAGUACCGUGAGGGAAAGAUGAAAAGAACUUUGAAAAGAGAGUUAAACAGUACGUGAAAUUGUCAAAAGGGAAGCGUUUGACACCAGUGUUGUUUUUCUGAAAAUCAAUUAAAGAACUGUUUAUGCUAAGCUGUUUAGACUUUAUCAGCUAUCUGUUUAGUUUUGAGCUUUUCUUUAAUGCACUUUUCAGUUAACAAGUCAACAUCAAUUUCUUUUGCUGUAAAAAAGCUUGAGGAAGGUGGCUUGAGAUUCGUCUUAAGUGUUUAUAGCCUCUUGCCUAUGCAGUCGGAGAGAUUGAGGUCUGCAGGCGUAGAUCCUUCGGAGCUAAAUGCAUUUGUGCUAAGUUAUAGCAUUUUAUAGACAACUUGUUGACUAUGAUUUGUCUUGUAGCUUACUCGCUUAUGUUAUUUUACCUACGCUUAGGAUGUUGACGCGCGUGUGUGCGU